AGUUUGAUCCUGGCUCAGGAUAAACGCUAGCGGCAGGCCUAACACAUGCAAGUCGAGGGGCAGCGGAAGAAGUAGCUUGCUACUUCUGCCGGCGACCGGCGCACGGGUGCGUAACGCGUAUGCAACCUACCUUUAACAGGGGGAUACCGGAAGAAUUUGUUCCACCACCCAUAUUUUUCCGGAAGCUUUUUUGAGGUAAAAACUCCGGGUGAAAAAGAUGGCCAUGGUUUAUUAACUAAGAUGGGAGGAACCGCUCCACCUUGGGGAUGAACAUAGGGGGCUGGAGAGUUCUCCCCCCCCCACUUGGUAUUGAACACGGCCCAGAUUCCUUCGGGGGGCACCAGUGAGAAUUUUGGUCAAUGGACGCAAGUUUGAACCCACCCAUCCCGCGUCCAGGAUGAAGGUGCUAUGCAUUGUAAACUGCUUUUGUACGAGGGUAAAUUCAGAUACGUGUAUCUGUUUGAAAGUAUCGUACGAAUAAGGAUCGGCUAACUCCGUGCCAGCAGCCGCGGUAAUACGGAGGAUCCGAGCGUUAUCCGGAUUUAUUGGGUUUAAAGGGUGCGUAGGCGGUUUGAUAAGUUAGAGGUGAAAGCUCGAUGCUCAACAUCGAAAUUGCCUCUGAUACUGUCAGACUAGAGUGUAGUUGCGGAAGGCGGAAUGUGUGGUGUAGCGGUGAAAUGCUUAGAUAUCACACAGAACACCGAUUGCGAAGGCAGCUUUCCAAGCUAUUACUGACGCUGAGGCACGAAAGCGUGGGUAGCGAACAGGAUUAGAUACCCUGGUAGUCCACGCCGUAAACGAUGAUAACUCGUUGCCGGCGAUAUAGUGUCGGUGACUAAGCGAAAGCGAUAAGUUAUCCACCUGGGGAGUACGUUCGCAAGAAUGAAACUCAAAGGAAUUGACGGGGGCCCGCACAAGCGGAGGAACAUGUGGUUUAAUUCGAUGAUACGCGAGGAACCUUACCCGGGCUUGAAAGUUAGCGACGGAUCCUGAAAGGGGUCUUCUCUUCGGAGCGCGAAACUAGGUGCUGCAUGGUUGUCGUCAGCUCGUGCCGUGAGGUGUCGGGUUAAGUCCCAUAACGAGCGCAACCCCUACUGUUAGUUGCCAGCAUGUCAAGAUGGGCACUCUAGCAGGACUGCCGGUGUAAGCCGAGAGGAAGGUGGGGAUGACGUCAAAUCAGCACGGCCCUUACGUCCGGGGCGACACACGUGUUACAAUGGUCGGUACAGAGGGUAGCUACCUGGUGACAGGAUGCCAAUCUCGAAAGCCGAUCUCAGUUCGGAUUGGAGGCUGAAACUCGCCUCCAUGAAGUUGGAUUCGCUAGUAAUCGCGCAUCAGCCAUGGCGCGGUGAAUACGUUCCCGGGCCUUGCACACACCGCCCGUC
rnacentral:rRNA from 1 species